UAUUUAUUUAAAUAUUGUUUUAGUAAUAUAUAUUAAAUAUUAUUUAAAUAAUAACACUAUUUGGGUCGCGUCCUGGUCAGGUUCCACAUGGACUCGGACGCAAAUAGUGUUUGGGUUCAAUGUUUGGACCCAUACACAGAUUUGUCUUGGGGCCGGUCGUCAGGUCCUGGGUCGAUUGCCACCCCUACUUAAGGACAACGUUUUGAGGUCUAUUUGUGCUUCCACUGAUAUUCACAGUGUAAUAUACAUCUUUCUUUAGUUUGUAAGGGUAUUGAGGAGGUUGGAGAGGAGCAUGUUGUAAAGGCGGUGCAAACAUGGUUGUAGCCAGUAUUAUCAUCAUCAUCAUCUAAGCCUUAUCCAAUCUAUUUGGGGUUGGCUACACGAAUCCUGUUCCAUCAAGGACUAUAAAUCACCAUAUCUCUUCAUGCUACUUCCAUCCAUGUCCUUUUGAGUCUUCCCCUUGGGCAUUUUAGAGCCUUUCACUUAGACCAAUUCGCCCCUCCUGACUGAUUGUAAGCCAAUACGUUUGUUGCUAAUUUAUUGCACCAAAAGCAAUUUGUGUGUUUUGUUUUUGUGGAUACCAUGCAAGCACAUUUUAUAGGCCUUAUGCUUUAGGCCAUUGGUGAAGGGACAAUUGAAAAAGCUAAGGCUGUGGUUGUGUUCAUCUACAGUUACUCUUACCCAGCAUGGCACUAAAGUUCACCAAGAAGAAGGACAUGGUGAUACUUUCCAACUCUUCAUAAUAUGGUGGAUUGGAGAAGCCAAAGUGAUCUAUGUUCACUUUUGAGGAUUGGACUAAAUGCAAAUCAUCUUAGUAUGCUGGGAAAGAGGGUUUGCGAUAUUAUUUCAUCUUAAGUCUUUGUGGUGCAGGGAAUUGUACCCACUUGAAGUAUU
rnacentral:lncRNA from 1 species